rnacentral:rRNA from 1 species
UACGAAGGGUGCAAGCGUUACUCGGAAUUACUGGGCGUAAAGGGCGCGUAGGCGGGAUGGCAAGUCGGUCGUGAAAUCCCUCGGCUCAACCGAGGAACGUCGAUCGAUACUGCUGUUCUUGAGGAUUGCAGAGGAGACUGGAAUUCCCGGUGUAGCGGUGAAAUGUGUAGAGAUCAGGAAGAACACCCGUGGCGAAGGCGGCCCACUGGGCCGGUGCUGACGCUGAGGCGCGAAGGCGUGGGGAGCGAACGGG